rnacentral:rRNA from 1 species
UUAAGUUAUUAAGGGCGCCCGGUGGAUGCCUUGGCACUAGAAGCCGAUGAAGGACGUUACUAACGACGAUAUGCUUUGGGGAGCUGUAAGUAAGCUUUGAUCCAGAGAUUUCCGAAUGGGGAAACCCAGCAUGAGUUAUGUCAUGUUAUCGAUAUGUGAAUACAUAGCAUAUCAGAAGGCACACCCGGAGAACUGAAACAUCUUAGUACCCGGAGGAAGAGAAAGAAAAUUCGAUUCCCUUAGUAGCGGCGAGCGAAACGGGAAGAGCCCAAACCAACAAGCUUGCUUGUUGGGGUUGUAGGACACUCUAUACGGAGUUACAAAGGACGACAUUAGACGAAUCAUCUGGAAAGAUGAAUCAAAGAAGGUAAUAAUCCUGUAGUCGAAAAUGUUGUCUCUCUUGAGUGGAUCCUGAGUACGACGGAGCACGUGAAAUUCCGUCGGAAUCUGGGAGGACCAUCUCCUAAGGCUAAAUACUCUCUAGUGACCGAUAGUGAACCAGUACCGUGAGGGAAAGGUGAAAAGCACCCCGGAAGGGGAGUGAAAUAGAACCUGAAACCGUGUGCUUACAAGUAGUCAGAGCCCGUUAAUGGGUGAUGGCGUGCCUUUUGUAGAAUGAACCGGCGAGUUACGAUUUGAUGCAAGGUUAAGCAGUAAAUGUGGAGCCGUAGCGAAAGCGAGUCUGAAUAGGGCGUUUAGUAUUUGGUCGUAGACCCGAAACCAGGUGAUCUACCCUUGGUCAGGUUGAAGUUCAGGUAACACUGAAUGGAGGACCGAACCGACUUACGUUGAAAAGUGAGCGGAUGAACUGAGGGUAGCGGAGAAAUUUCAAUCGAACCUGGAGAUAGCUGGUUCUCUCCGAAAUAGCUUUAGGGCUAGCCUCAAGUGAUGAUUAUUGGAGGUAGAGCACUGUUUGGACGAGGGGCCCCUCUCGGGUUACCGAAUUCAGACAAACUCCGAAUGCCAAUUAAUUUAACUUGGGAGUCAGAACAUGGGUGAUAAGGUCCGUGUUCGAAAGGGAAACAGCCCAGACCACCAGCUAAGGUCCCAAAAUAUAUGUUAAGUGGAAAAGGAUGUGGCGUUGCCCAGACAACUAGGAUGUUGGCUUAGAAGCAGCCAUCAUUUAAAGAGUGCGUAAUAGCUCACUAGUCGAGUGACACUGCGCCGAAAAUGUACCGGGGCUAAACAUAUUACCGAAGCUGUGGAUUGUCCUUUGGACAAUGGUAGGAGAGCGUUCUAAGGGCGUUGAAGCAUGAUCGUAAGGACAUGUGGAGCGCUUAGAAGUGAGAAUGCCGGUGUGAGUAGCGAAAGACGGGUGAGAAUCCCGUCCACCGAUUGACUAAGGUUUCCAGAGGAAGGCUCGUCCGCUCUGGGUUAGUCGGGUCCUAAGCUGAGGCCGACAGGCGUAGGCGAUGGAUAACAGGUUGAUAUUCCUGUACCACCUAUAAUCGUUUUAAUCGAUGGGGGGACGCAGUAGGAUAGGCGAAGCGUGCGAUUGGAUUGCACGUCUAAGCAGUAAGGCUGAGUAUUAGGCAAAUCCGGUACUCGUUAAGGCUGAGCUGUGAUGGGGAGAAGACAUUGUGUCUUCGAGUCGUUGAUUUCACACUGCCGAGAAAAGCCUCUAGAUAGAAAAUAGGUGCCCGUACCGCAAACCGACACAGGUAGUCAAGAUGAGAAUUCUAAGGUGAGCGAGCGAACUCUCGUUAAGGAACUCGGCAAAAUGACCCCGUAACUUCGGGAGAAGGGGUGCUCUUUAGGGUUAACGCCCAGAAGAGCCGCAGUGAAUAGGCCCAAGCGACUGUUUAUCAAAAACACAGGUCUCUGCUAAACCGUAAGGUGAUGUAUAGGGGCUGACGCCUGCCCGGUGCUGGAAGGUUAAGAGGAGUGGUUAGCUUCUGCGAAGCUACGAAUCGAAGCCCCAGUAAACGGCGGCCGGAACUAUAACGGUCCUAAGGUAGCGAAAUUCCUUGUCGGGUAAGUUCCGACCCGCACGAAAGGCGUAACGAUUUGGGCACUGUCUCAACGAGAGACUCGGUGAAAUCAUAGUACCUGUGAAGAUGCAGGUUACCCGCGACAGGACGGAAAGACCCCGUGGAGCUUUACUGUAGCCUGAUAUUGAAAUUCGGCACAGCUUGUACAGGAUAGGUAGGAGCCUUUGAAACGUGAGCGCUAGCUUACGUGGAGGCGCUGGUGGGAUACUACCCUAGCUGUGUUGGCUUUCUAACCCGCACCACUUAUCGUGGUGGGAGACAGUGUCAGGCGGGCAGUUUGACUGGGGCGGUCGCCUCCUAAAAGGUAACGGAGGCGCUCAAAGGUUCCCUCAGAAUGGUUGGAAAUCAUUCAUAGAGUGUAAAGGCAUAAGGGAGCUUGACUGCGAGACCUACAAGUCGAGCAGGGUCGAAAGACGGACUUAGUGAUCCGGUGGUUCCGCAUGGAAGGGCCAUCGCUCAACGGAUAAAAGCUACCCCGGGGAUAACAGGCUUAUCUCCCCCAAGAGUUCACAUCGACGGGGAGGUUUGGCACCUCGAUGUCGGCUCAUCGCAUCCUGGGGCUGUAGUCGGUCCCAAGGGUUGGGCUGUUCGCCCAUUAAAGCGGUACGCGAGCUGGGUUCAGAACGUCGUGAGACAGUUCGGUCCCUAUCCGUCGUGGGCGUAGGAAAUUUGAGAGGAGCUGUCCUUAGUACGAGAGGACCGGGAUGGACAUACCUCUGGUGUACCAGUUGUCGUGCCAACGGCAUAGCUGGGUAGCUAUGUGUGGACGGGAUAAGUGCUGAAAGCAUCUAAGCAUGAAGCCCCCCUCAAGAUGAGAUUUCCCAACUUCGGUUAUAAGAUCCCUCAAAGAUGAUGAGGUUAAUAGGUUCGAGGUGGAAGCAUGGUGACAUGUGGAGCUGACGAAUACUAAUCGAUCGAAGACUUAAUCAA